rnacentral:lncRNA from 1 species
GCAACAGCAAAUAACUUGUUUGUCUUUGAAGUUUCAUGUACCAGAAUAAUAAAAAAUUCUUAUCCCACCCUCUAGUCCCAGUGUGGAAGCCUGCUAUGAGUCAAACUUCCUGUGUCUUGUUCCCACUCUACUGGGAGAGGAGUAAAGUGAGGUCUAGAGAAAACAAGUGCCUGCAGGGAUGCCCUGACUGGAAGCUGGGAGGUCAAAGAUUCUCAUAAAAGAUGCCUCUGAGGGGCUAAGCCUGGAGCUGGAGACAUAGGGAAGGUAUGAUAGAGAAUCACUCUGACUGUCCUAGGGGGCGGUCCUCAUAAAAGGUGGUGAGGGCUGAGGGGAGAAAAAGGGACCAGACAGUAGAUUGAGGGCUGGCCCUCAGAUAGGGAAUAGAAGACAUUUAGCAAAGGUAUCCCAAUGAGGGCAAAAUCUGGGGCUAAUGUAAAAGAACAGGUCAGCUAAUUCUUGCAUCACAACAUAGGGGGAAGAGACAAAGCUGAGUAACCCCUUCACCCAAAGUCACUUCACCCUGUUGGCCUCAGUUUCCUUAUCUGUCAGAUGAGAUGGAGAAGGAAAUGACAAACCACUCUAGUAACUCUGCCUAGAAAACCCCAAAAGGGGUCAUGAAAUGUCGAAUAUGACUAAAUGACAACAAAAAGGAUCUUUACUCUUCUUGCCUAAGGUUACACAGCUAAAUUUGAGGCCAGAUUUGAACUCAGGUCUUCCUGACUCCAAGCUCUGUACACUAGCUGCCCUAGUAAACAUCUUGACCUGAAUCCCAUUCAAUGGGUUCUUACUCCCUCCAUUCCCUUCCCCCUCCCACACUUCCUAAGGUUUGGCAUCCCACCUGGUGGACUCUCAAACUACACAUUUUUACUUUUCUGGCCUCAGUUUUCUCUUCUGCAAAGUGACAAAGUUGGAUUAGCUGAUGAACUUAGUCCCUUCCAGCUCUGAUGAUUCCAUGAUAACAUAUCACUUUCCCUGAUCUCAAGGGAGGGGGAUAGAAUAUAUACAACACUAAGUAUGAGGCAUACUGUUACAUAUUAAAUGUACUAGAAA